AGAAUCAACGCUGGCGGCGUGCCUCAGACAUGCAAGUCGAACGCGAAAGUCUCCUUCGGGGGACAAGUAGAGUGGCGCACGGGUGAGUAACACGUAGGUAAUCUACCUUUGGAUGGGGAAUAACAACCGGAAACGGUUGCUAAUACCGCAUAAUGCAGCGGCACCUAAUGGUGACAGUUGUUAAAGCGGGGGAUCGAAAGACCUCGCGUCUGAAGAGGAGCCUGCGGCGGAUUAGCUAGUUGGUAAGGUAAUGGCUCACCAAGGCUACGAUCC
rnacentral:rRNA from 1 species